UAAUGCCUAAUAAUUUCAUAAAUUUGGUUAAUCAAUUAAUUUUCUAAAUUAGUACUAAUUAAUGCAUAAAUUUAGGACCUCAAUUAAAAAUUUCUUUAAAUAUUGUAUUAUUUAAUUACCAAACUAACCUUGAAUAAAAUAAUCCUUUUACUUGCUAAGUAUUAAAGUUACAUUUUUACCCUCUAUUAAUCAACGGUUAAAAUCUUUUUUAUUUUUUUUUUUAAAAAGUACCGAAUCAUUUCUCUGCUUUUAUAUAUAGAGAGAGAUAGUUCGGCUCGCAUGUUUUUAAAAGUACAAAAAUAUUUAUAUUUGUAAUUUUAGUUAUCGAAUCACCUUAAGAUUUGUACAUUAUUAUUAACUGUGUAUCUCGUUAAAUUCUUUCAU
rnacentral:lncRNA from 1 species